UACGUAGGGUGCGAGCGUUGUCCGGAAUUAUUGGGCGUAAAGGGCUCGUAGGCGGUCUGUCACGUCGGGAGUGAAAACUCGGGGCUCAACCCCGAGCCUGCUUCCGAUACGGGCAGACUAGAGGUAUGCAGGGGAGGAUGGAAUUCCUGGUGUAGCGGUGAAAUGCGCAGAUAUCAGGAGGAACACCGGUGGCGAAGGCGGUUCUCUGGGCAUUACCUGACGCUGAGGAGCGAAAGUGUGGGGAGCGAACAGG
rnacentral:rRNA from 1 species